rnacentral:rRNA from 1 species
AGAGUUUGAUCGUGGCUCAGGAUGAACGCUAGCGGCGCGCUUAAUGCAUGCAAGUCGAGCGAUGAGUACCUCUUCGGAGGUGCAUCAGCGGCAAACGGGUGAGUAACACAUGGAUAACCUACCCCAAAGACGGGGAUAACUGCUGGAAACGGUGGCUAAUACCCGAUGGAUACAGAGAUCUGGGAUGGUCUUUGUAGAAAGCUACGGUGCUUUGGGAGGGGUCUGUGGCCCAUCAGCUAGUUGGUAGGGUAAUGGCCUACCAAGGCGAUGACGGGUAGGGGGUGUGAGAGCAUGACCCCCCACAAUGGGAUUGAGAGACGGCCCAUACUCCUACGGGAGGCAGCAGCAGGGAAUUUUGCACAAUGGACGGAAGUCUGAUGCAGCGACGCCGCGUGGGUGAAGAAGGCCUUCGGGUUGUAAAACCCUUUUCUGGGGGAAGAGCGAGGACGGUACUCCAGGAAUAAGUGUCGGCUAACUACGUGCCAGCAGCCGCGGUAAUACGUAGGACACGAGCGUUAUCCGGAUUUACUGGGCGUAAAGCGCCUGUAGGCGGUUUAGUAAGUCGGAUGUGAAAGCCCCAGGCUUAACCUGGGGAGGCCAUUCGAUACUGCGAGACUUGAGGAUGGCAGAGGGGAGUGGAAUUCCCGGUGUAGCGGUAAAAUGCGCAGAUAUCGGGAGGAACACCAGUGGCGAAGGCGGCUCCCUAGGUCAUCCCUGACGCUGAGAGGCGAAAGCUAGGGGAGCGAACAGGAUUAGAUACCCUGGUAGUCCUAGCCCUAAACGAUGGAUGCUAGGUGGAGGAUCGAUAGGUUUUCUGCCAAAGCUAACGCGUUAAGCAUCCCGCCUGGGGAGUACGGCCGCAAGGCUAAAACUCAAAGGAAUUGAC